UGUCAGUAGUGAUGGAGUAGUUCAGAUCUGGGCAGCCGGCAUGGACCAACCCUAAAGCUAUGGGCAGGCUCUGAAACUAGUGUUUUGUUCUUCUAGCAGUAAAAAUAUAUUGAAAAAAUAUUGGACAAAGCAUUUUAAAACUAGAAGAGAUGAAAUGCACAGGUCUGCAUAGCUCAUAUAAUGUCUGUGCUAUAAGAAUAUACUAUUUUCUGAUACGUUCUCUUCUUCAUCUGCUGUGAUGUAUUUACUUAGUGAAAUAGCAUAGAGUUGAUAGUGUUGUGGAGUGCAAGGAAGACAGACUAAUGAACAAUUUCUAUUGGAUCACAUAGCAUCUGCUAAUACUUGGGAUUCCUAUAAGAAACUCAGUAGGGUGGACUUUUGUGUGAUCCAUCAAUACAUUGCCUAUGUUUAUGCAGGUGUGAAUACUAAGGACCAAGGUGUGAUGUUCUAUAAACAGAAAAGCAAUGAACUAUCUGGUUUAAUUUAUUGCAGAUCUACCCUAAACACUGUGCACUGAUUUACCAGCAAGAUCAAACUUAUAUUCUUCCUGUCCAAUCCAAAACAAAAAAAUAGAGGGAGAGGAGAGAAAUCUCACUGGCUCUAGUGGAAACUAUUUUUAUUGCAUUGUUAUUGUUAUUGUUGAUUCUAUUGAGAUAUGUUUUAAUCUAUGUUUGGUUUUAAUUUUUGUUGGAUCAAGCUCGUCCCAUGUAAACCACCCCGAGUCCUUUGGGGGAGAUGGAGGUGGGAUAUAAAAGAAUAAAGUUAGUUAUUACCACUAGUGCACAAGUUUUUUUUAAUGUAACUCUUUAGAAGACAGAACUAAGAAGACUAAUGACUAAGUGUUAACACCAAUAUAAAUAUACAUGUGCUUCAUACUUUGCCUGCCUGUAAUGCAUUGGGAAUAACAUUUUUGUAGACAAUCAAAAGCAUGAAAAAUUAGGUAACAGCUGUAUCAGAAGAAUCACAUGACUCAAACCCUGCUGUAACCCCAGGCAAGCACUUAAGCUGUAACGAGAUAUAUAGACUUUUGUACCAUCUGUGUGUCUCAAAACAUCAGCACUGCAGAGAUGUUUUGCUGGGAUCAUAUAUGCACGCCCUGUUUUGA
rnacentral:lncRNA from 1 species